rnacentral:lncRNA from 1 species
CCUCCCCUGCCCCCUCAGCCUGCGGGCAGCAGAAGGCGGCGGCCAGCCUACUCCUGCCCCUCGGCCGGACGAACCGCGGCUGCCGCGCCCGUCACCUCUGCACCUGCCUGGCUGAGGUGAGAUGCCUGGCGCGCACGAAAAAUCUGAAAUUUGUAACAGAAAUGGCCACAUAAGGACAAUUCAGAUGAAGAGCAGGAGGGCCGACAUCGCGCACUUGGGUCUUUCCUGGAAAGACAGCCGCGCUCUGGGAGAAGCCUAGUCCUCCGGCUUGUCCCCGGCCCGCCCCAAAGGUCGCUGGGAGCUCGGUGAGGACGUGGCGGUCCCUUUGCUCAUUUUACUCCGGAGGCAGGUUCCGCAGAAAGAGCUCUCAAUCUCGGCCGCUGGGCUCCAGGAUAAUCUCCUGGCGAAA